rnacentral:lncRNA from 1 species
GCGGCCGCUCCGCCCUCACCUGAGCCUGAGGUUGGCCAUGAACUCGGGCAUGGAGACGGUGUCCAUCAGCACGAAGUCUGCCUUGCCGAAUUCCAGGCUCUCCUGCUCCGCCAUGGCGCCAGCGCGGGGGCUCAGGAUUAUUGCGGAUGUCUUGAGCAUGGGACCAUUCUUUUUGCAUCCACCAAAUAACUAUUGUACUACUUUGCAUAUAUAAAUAUGAAAUCCAUACUGGUUCAGUGGAAUGAAGUGAGUUGACAUCUUCUAUUACAAAAUCUACGAGGAAAUCUAGAGGCCUCCAAGGACCUGGCUGGGCUUCAACUCUGGCUGAGUUUGAGAUGAGUAAACCAGACUGAAGGACCUUGCCCAAGGCCUGCUUCAGCUGCCAGCCACCCACACUUGCUAAGAGAAAGGAAAGGAGCUUUGUCACCUCCUGAGGGACUGCCUCUGCCAUCAGAAAACCACCCCAAUCCCUGGCACCAGCAGAGCUGGGUUGCAUCUGACUACCGUUAGCAGCUGUCCUUCAGAAGGAGGAGAUCCACCUGUCUCGAUAUCAGUGUCCUCAUUUGUGGAAUAAAAGCUCUGGAAUAAGGU